GCUGUAAAGUGUGCAUGGUUGUCAUCUAUGUUUGAUAGCAGUAUCUGUCUGUGUUUUUCAUUCAGAUCUGUUAUCCACACAAAUACCAUGCAGCCAAAGAGUAACUUGGGAUCAUAGUACUGGUUUAGUGUUGUCUCUUUGGACACCUACCACUGGCCAGCCUCCAAAUUCCCUUACACAG